AGAGUUUGAUCCUGGCUCAGAUUGAACGCUGGCGGCAUGCUUUACACAUGCAAGUCGAACGGUAACGCGGGGGCAACCCUGGCGACGAGUGGCGAACGGGUGAGUAAUACAUCGGAACAUAUCAGUAGCGGGGGAUAACCUAUCGAAAGAUGGACUAAUACCGCAUACGAUCUACGGAUGAAAGCAGGGGACCGCAAGGCCUUGCACUAUUGGAGUGGCCGAUGUCGGAUUAGCUAGUUGGUGAGGUAAUGGCUUACCAAGGCGACGAUCCGUAGCUGGUCUGAGAGGACGAACAGCCACACUGGAACUGAGACACGGUCCAGACUCCUACGGGAGGCAGCAGUGGGGAAUUUUGGACAAUGGGCGCAAGCCUGAUCCAGCCAUGCCGCGUGAGUGAAGAAGGCCUUCGGGUUGUAAAGCUCUUUCGGUGAAGACGAAACGGUUCGUGCUAAUAACGCGGACUAAUGACGGUACUCACAGAAGAAGCACCGGCUAACUACGUGCCAGCAGCCGCGGUAAUACGUAGGGUGCAGGCGUUAAUCGGAAUUACUGGGCGUAAAGCGUGCGCAGGCGGCUUGCUAAGACAGGUGUGAAAUCCCCGGGCUUAACCUGGGAAUUGCGCUUGUAACUGGCAAGCUAGAGUGUGGCAGAGGGGGGUAGAAUUCCACGUGUAGCAGUGAAAUGCGUAGAUAUGUGGAGGAAUACCGAUGGCGAAGGCAGCCCCCUGGGUUAACACUGACGCUCAUGCACGAAAGCGUGGGGAGCAAACAGGAUUAGAUACCCUGGUAGUCCACGCCCUAAACUAUGUCAACUAGUUGUCGGGGAAGAAAUUCCUUGGUAACGAAGCUAACGCGUGAAGUUGACCGCCUGGGGAGUACGGCCGCAAGGUUAAAACUCAAAGGAAUUGACGGGGACCCGCACAAGCGGUGGAUUAUGUGGAUUAAUUCGAUGCAACGCGAAAAACCUUACCUACCCUUGACAUGCUAGGAAGCCCGCAGAGAUGUGGGUGUGCCCGAAAGGGAACCUAGACACAGGUGCUGCAUGGCUGUCGUCAGCUCGUGUCGUGAGAUGUUGGGUUAAGUCCCGCAACGAGCGCAACCCUUGCCAUUAGUUGCUACAUUCAGUUGGGCACUCUAAUGGGACCGCCGGUGACAAACCGGAGGAAGGUGGGGAUGACGUCAAGUCCUCAUGGCCCUUAUGGGUAGGGCUUCACACGUAAUACAAUGGUCGGUACAGAGGGCUGCCAACCCGCAAGGGGGAGCUAAUCCCAGAAAGCCGAUCGUAGUCCGGAUUGUAGUCUGCAACUCGACUGCAUGAAGCCGGAAUCGCUAGUAAUCGCGGAUCAGCAUGUCGCGGUGAAUACGUUCCCGGGUCUUGUACACACCGCCCGUCACACCAUGGGAGUGGGUUCCACCAGAAGUAGUUAGCCUAACCGCAAGGAGGGCGAUUACCACGGUGAGAUUCAUGACUGGGGUGAAGUCGUAACAAGGUA
rnacentral:rRNA from 1 species